GGUAUCUUAGUACUCUUAAGGGGAUGGUUCGAAAUAGAGCUCGUCCUGAAGGCUCAAUCGCAGAGGCCUAUAUUGUAAAAGAGUGCUUAAGUUUUUGCUCAUUAUAUCUUCAUGGAAUUGAGACAAAAUAUAAUAGAGAGGAAAGAAAUUAUGAUGGUGGGGAAAAUCAAAAUGCAACUAUCUUUGUUUUUCGAAGUAAAAUUCGAACCUUUGGAGAAACAAAUUUUGUACAGAUGACCACUGAACAAUAUAAUGUUUUGCAUUGGUUUGUCCUAAAAUAUAACUGUGCGGAGAUUGAUUUAUAUAUGAGGUAAUUAGAUAUUGUUUUAUAACAUUAUGAUAAAAUUUACAUGUGUUGAUUGUGUUAUUGUUUACUUUUUUUCUUUCUCAGGGAGCACGGAGAAAAACUUAAGCAAGAAAAUCCUAUUGGGUGGGAGAUUAGAC
rnacentral:lncRNA from 1 species